rnacentral:rRNA from 3 species
UUAAAUUGAAGAGUUUGAUCAUGGCUCAGAUUGAACGCUGGCGGCAGGCCUAACACAUGCAAGUCGAACGGUAACAGGAAGCAGCUUGCUGCUUUGCUGACGAGUGGCGGACGGGUGAGUAAUGUCUGGGAAACUGCCUGAUGGAGGGGGAUAACUACUGGAAACGGUAGCUAAUACCGCAUAACGUCGCAAGACCAAAGAGGGGGACCUUCGGGCCUCUUGCCAUCGGAUGUGCCCAGAUGGGAUUAGCUAGUAGGUGGGGUAACGGCUCACCUAGGCGACGAUCCCUAGCUGGUCUGAGAGGAUGACCAGCCACACUGGAACUGAGACACGGUCCAGACUCCUACGGGAGGCAGCAGUGGGGAAUAUUGCACAAUGGGCGCAAGCCUGAUGCAGCCAUGCCGCGUGUAUGAAGAAGGCCUUCGGGUUGUAAAGUACUUUCAGCGGGGAGGAAGGGAGUAAAGUUAAUACCUUUGCUCAUUGACGUUACCCGCAGAAGAAGCACCGGCUAACUCCGUGCCAGCAGCCGCGGUAAUACGGAGGGUGCAAGCGUUAAUCGGAAUUACUGGGCGUAAAGCGCACGCAGGCGGUUUGUUAAGUCAGAUGUGAAAUCCCCGGGCUCAACCUGGGAACUGCAUCUGAUACUGGCAAGCUUGAGUCUCGUAGAGGGGGGUAGAAUUCCAGGUGUAGCGGUGAAAUGCGUAGAGAUCUGGAGGAAUACCGGUGGCGAAGGCGGCCCCCUGGACGAAGACUGACGCUCAGGUGCGAAAGCGUGGGGAGCAAACAGGAUUAGAUACCCUGGUAGUCCACGCCGUAAACGAUGUCGACUUGGAGGUUGUGCCCUUGAGGCGUGGCUUCCGGAGCUAACGCGUUAAGUCGACCGCCUGGGGAGUACGGCCGCAAGGUUAAAACUCAAAUGAAUUGACGGGGGCCCGCACAAGCGGUGGAGCAUGUGGUUUAAUUCGAUGCAACGCGAAGAACCUUACCUGGUCUUGACAUCCACAGAACUUUCCAGAGAUGGAUUGGUGCCUUCGGGAACUGUGAGACAGGUGCUGCAUGGCUGUCGUCAGCUCGUGUUGUGAAAUGUUGGGUUAAGUCCCGCAACGAGCGCAACCCUUAUCCUUUGUUGCCAGCGGUCCGGCCGGGAACUCAAAGGAGACUGCCAGUGAUAAACUGGAGGAAGGUGGGGAUGACGUCAAGUCAUCAUGGCCCUUACGACCAGGGCUACACACGUGCUACAAUGGCGCAUACAAAGAGAAGCGACCUCGCGAGAGCAAGCGGACCUCAUAAAGUGCGUCGUAGUCCGGAUUGGAGUCUGCAACUCGACUCCAUGAAGUCGGAAUCGCUAGUAAUCGUGGAUCAGAAUGCCACGGUGAAUACGUUCCCGGGCCUUGUACACACCGCCCGUCACACCAUGGGAGUGGGUUGCAAAAGAAGUAGGUAGCUUAACCUUCGGGAGGGCGCUUACCACUUUGUGAUUCAUGACUGGGGUGAAGUCGUAACAAGGUAACCGUAGGGGAACCUGCGGUUGGAUCACCUCCUUACCUUAAAGAAGC